UACGAAGGGGGCGAGCGUUUGUUCGGAUUUACUGGGCGUAAAGGGCGCGCAGGCGGCCGCAUUUGUCAGGCGUGAAAUACCCGAGCUUAACUUGGGUGCUGCAUUUGAAACUGGGUGUCUAGAGUGCAGGAGAGGUAAGUGGAAUUCCUAGUGUAGCGGUGAAAUGCGUAGAGAUUAGGAAGAACACCAGUGGCGAAGGCGACUUACUGGACUGUAACUGACGCUGAGGCAUGAAAGCGUGGGGAGCAAACAGG
rnacentral:rRNA from 1 species